CGCCUAUGCCAUUACCUGUUAGGAAUUCCUUGAAGAUGUGGGGAGCAGCCAACAUCUUGGCCUCCGUUUCUUUUUGCUGGAUCACUGGUGUUCCGGGAGCCAUUUUAGAUCUAACGCUAUGUGUCGAAGAUCAGGAUUCUGAAGAGUCAUAGGAGCCGGUGGUGUCUCCCUCUCCAUCCACUUCUUCAUCCCCCACAGCAUAGGACCCUGGGAAUGGGCACACAGCUGUAGAGCAGGUGCUGACAGCUGAGCCGUUCCACACACCUUUGGGGCAAAGAACUGCUGGAAGCCUGGGCCAAGUUCAAAGACCGAACAUUCUUUCCAAGGCAACCAGAAGCACCCUGGAGGGCUGGCUCCUAGUUACAUAAGCCACAGCUUCCUCAUUGGCUGAUGAACUCAUCUGGUGUUCCUAAGACCAACACCUUCAGUCCCAUUUCACAAAGUCCAAAUCACAAAGGAGGAAACUAUUUAUUUGAUGAAUGCUGUAUUGAAGGAGGCUCUCCUUCCCUUUAUACCUCACGAUGGUCCUAAAGAAGACCAGAUACAGAAGAAAAAGAUUCAAGGAGAAGACCUCUGCAGAGACACAGUCAAAGUGCUAUUUAAGGUAAAACUGGACCAAGACGACACGGGGUUGAAUGCCACCAUGGUGACUGUAAGAGGAG
rnacentral:lncRNA from 1 species